rnacentral:rRNA from 1 species
UACGAAGGGGGCAAGCGUUGUUCGGAAUUACUGGGCGUAAAUGGCGCGUAGGCGGGAUGGCAAGUCGGUCGUGAAAUCCCUCGGCUCAACUGAGGAUCGUCGAUCGAUACUGCCGUUCUUGAGGAUUGCAGAGGAGACUGGAAUUCCCGGUGUAGCGGUGAAAUGUGUAGAGAUCGGGAGGAACACCGGUGGCGAAGGCGGGUCUCUGGGCAAUUCCUGACGCUGAGGCGCGAAAGCGUGGGGAGCAAACGGG